GGGGGCGGUGGGGGCGGUGCCGGGGCCGCUCGCGCCUGCCCCGCGCGAUAAGAAAUGGAAGGAAGAAAUCUUAUAAAAACAGACCUUUCCCUCAGAAGGAACAGCUGCUACAUUCCCUCACAGCAUCCCAAUUCAAGGCAGGAGUGUCAUCUGUACAGGGGAGCAUACAGAAAGGCAUGAAGAUGCUUUCUUAAAGAGUAAUGCAAUAACAGAAAAACAAUAUCCAGUUUUAUGAUGUGUCCCUGUGUAAAACCACAAUGUAGGGCUCAAACCCAAGGAUCUGCCCAAUAUCUUUGAUCCCACAGGCAGAUGACAGCUCGACACUGAACAUAUUGAAUAAAUCCGUGGCUGCCAGCAUGUUGCAGGAACUUGGAGAGGAGUUGCAGCUCCUUGCUGGGUAUGAGACUGGUAACAUGCUAACCUGGAACUGGGGAGAACUCAGUGAGGGGAUUGAUUACCAUAAUUAGCCCCAGAAAUGACUAGUGUACAAAAGUGUGGGAACCAGGUGAAGCCAAGUCUCAGAGGAGGUUGAAAGUGGUGCUCUUGAAUCCAAAUGUACAGAGUGUGAAAUCGAUGCCAUCAGAAGAGAACAAUGCAAGAAAAGCUUUGCUUUAGCAGCCUGCACUACGAAGGAAAAAAGAAAACCUGAGACAGCACCAAACACGUCUCUCUGAAGUAAAGGGACAAGCUGUGGGUGACAUCCCAGGCUGCUUAACCUACUGUGCUUCACAGAAUUAUGGGAGAGGAAGGAAAGAUGUAUAGAUGAAGUAAACAUCAGAUUCCCUAUCUGCCACACCUGGAGUAUGAUCACCUCAGUGACAAUCAAAUGUCCCUUAAGGAGCAGAUCAAAAUAGUCUGUCUCAUCUUCAAAAAACAAACACUUGUGAAAAUAAAACAAAGCAGCUAUAUGAUGGAAGAACAAGAACAGAAGUAUGCCUUGUGCUCAGCACAUCAUUAAAUUGUGGAACUCUUUGCCACAGGAUGUUGCAGAGGCCAAAAGUGUAAGUGUGUUCUAAAUGGAAUUAGAUACAUUCCUUAGGGCUGGCUCUGUUGGCAGCUGUGAAAAGUGAUGGCCAGACACAGCUUUUGGUUGAGGAAAUCCCUCAGUUAAUCCCCUGAUAAUUGAAGUGCCCUGAAUUGUUAACUGCUUAUGGCUGAUAUGGAUCACAAAAAGAAAGAUUUUCUUUUAAAUAUUGGUCCACUGCUCCCCCAGUUACCAGCCACUCACAGGGACAGGAUGGUGGACAAGUUAAAUGAACCUUUGGUAUAAUCCUGCACAUCUGUUUUUAAACCAUUAUGUGCAAGGAUAUUGCUUUAAUUGGGGUAAAAUUUUAGGAUUAGAGAGGAAAAUGCACAGAGUUCAUGAAAAGAAGGUUCUUUACCUCUGAAGUCAUCCUUGGCAACAUAUAUCAAACUAUUUUGUAUAUAUUUUAAUUUGUAAAGCCUCAAUGAAGCAAAACUAAUGUUCCCAGGAGGGGAAGGUCUCUUUCAAACUGUGUAAAAGAUUAAAAAACUACUUUUACAUUAAAAACCUAAUUUUACAUGCUUUCUUCUAGAGGCAGAUAACUAAUUUCCUCUGGUCCUUGGAAUUUCCUCAGAUGAUCCGGAAAAAAACCCCUUCAAAAUUAAACACAAUUAUCUCUCUGUCUAAUGAAUUAAGAGGCUACUCUUAGUACACUUAGGACAGAGUCCAUCCUUCAUUUCCUACUAAAAUUAUUGUUCAGCUAAAUAAAUACAAAUGAGUUUAAGAGAAGGAAUUAAUGGCCUCAAAAAAAAUUAAGUUCAAAUUUUAAUGAACAUGUUAAGCAAGACAGAAAUGCUGUAUGAUAUUAAACAUUUGCCUUUAGACAGCUUUCUAUAUAGUUUCUUGGAUGCCUCAAGCAAAUGGUUUUACAGAAGCAUCACAAUAACGUAGUUGCUCCCAGGGGCAGUUGUUUCUCCUGACUGUGGCAUGUACUUCCUGCCAUAUGGACAAUCCAACUCUCUCCCCCUGCCCCCAUCUAAAGAUCUUCAGCCAGGACUUAAUUCCAGUGCUUUCAAAAUGUAAGGGAGCUGUGUGUUUGAGGGCCAGGAGGCAGAAGGGAACCAACAUUUUAUUUGCAAGUGACUUUUCAAAAGCAUUAUUUGUCAUGAGUUAAAAUAACCACCAAACACCAAACAUUCCUGCACUUUUGU